CGGCGUGAGUGGCGGCGUCGCUGUGAGGAAAGUGAAUGCGCUGGUGGUCAGUGAGUGAUUCAGUGUUCCUUGGUGAUCUACAGCCGUUGUGUUUGUGUGCGUGAGUGAUGGAGAGGAGCAAGGAUCGUAUGUGGCGGCAAUCGUUGGUCUUUCACGGGGCAGCAGUGGAGCGGGUGAGGCCAGAGUGAUGUCGGUGCUUGAUGCCGCCACCUACAGAAUGAUAGCUACUGGAGUUCCGAGGAGUGCAGAAUGAAAGCAGUACCUGAUGAUGAUGGCAGGAUCAUUAUCAGGAAUCUGGCAAGAACUGCAGUGUAGAGAUGCAGAUACCAGUGGAAAGGUUGAAAAUAUCCAGAAGUCUCCUCACAAAGCCUGGUGGUAGCAGCAGCAGCAGCAGCA